UUUCCGUAGGUGAACCUGCGGAAGGAUCAUUGUCGAAACCUGCCCAGCAGAACGACCCGCGAACUUGCAUAAACAACCGGGGGCGGGGGGCGUUCUCGCCCCGUGCCCCCGAACGGCGGGGAGACACUCGUGCCUUCUUGCCGAACAACGAACCCCGGCGCGGUCUGCGCCAAGGAACUUCAACUAAAGAGUGCCUCCGGUCGCCUCGGAAACGGCGUGCGUGCCGGGGGCGAAUCUUGUGCAAAACCAUAACGACUCUCGGCAACGGAUAUCUCGGCUCUC
rnacentral:misc_RNA from 1 species